rnacentral:rRNA from 1 species
GACGAACGCUGGCGGCGUGCUUAACACAUGCGAGUCGAACGGAAAGGCCCUGCUUUUGUGGGGUGCUCGAGUGGCGAACGGGUGAGUAACACGUGAGUAACCUGCCCUUGACUUUGGGAUAACUUCAGGAAACUGGGGCUAAUACCGGAUAGGAGCUCCUGCUGCAUGGUGGGGGUUGGAAAGUUUCGGCGGGUGGGGAUGGACUCGCGGCUUAUCAGCUUGUUGGUGGGGUAGUGGCUUACCAAGGCUUUGACGGGUACCCGGCCUGAGAGGGUGACCGGCCACAUUGGGACUGAGAUACGGCCCAGACUCCUACGGGAGGCAGCAGUGGGGAAUAUUGCACAAUGGGCGGAAGCCUGAUGCAGCAACGCCGCGUGCGGGAUGACGGCCUUCGGGUUGUAAACCGCUUUCGCCUGUGACGAAGCGUGAGUGACGGUAAUGGGUAAAGAAGCACCGGCUAACUACGUG